GACCAUCCUCACGGAUCUCCUGCCUCCUUCACUUCAUCACUAAGACCAAGGACUCAGUUCUUCACAUACAGCAAUGCUCCUACCUGAUGACAUGAAUCUCAUUCCUUUGAAGGCAGUUCAUCUCAUCAUGACAUCGCUCAUAGAUUUCCUCAAACAUCAUUGGAUAUAAUGGAAUGAGAACUUCACUCCUAAGAUUACCUCAUUAACAGUAAGACAGCGUGGGAACUCAGACAGAACCCAGUACUUGAUCAUUUGCAUAGAAGACAAGUGGAUCAUCCUAGGAAAGCAUCGGAGGCAUAUAAGUUCCCUCCAGGAAGCACGAUCAUUGUACUUGCAACAGAAGGUGACAUGACAUCAAGAAAAUCCUCUAAUUCUUCAUUCUCACUGGUGAAACUGGUUUUUAGUAGCUUAAAAUCAUAGCCAAUCCAGGGGUUCCUGCCAUUUUAACAAAGAUAAAAACUUUCAUAUUCUAAUGGAAUGAAUCAUUAAAUGGAAUUGCAAACAUCACCCAGCGGUGUCUGGCUACAUACAUGGAAACAGUAGAAUUGAAAUCUGAUUGCAGUGCAUUUUGAUGUAGAGCAGAGCAGCAUGCAUGGAGAGAAAGUGACACUUCAGGAAGACAGGAUUUCUGAUUUGCUCUAAAAUAUCAAGUAAGGAAAGAAUCGUUGCAGCUGGAACCCAAAGCACUGCAAGCUCUUGCUCAGAUCUGAUUGUCUUUUCCAUUGUUGAGACGGUUUCUGCUGCAUGUGCCACAUUCAUUCUCUAGUCUUUUUACACAGUUACACAUCUCAUUUUGUUUACCCCAAGAUUCUCACUCCCAUAUAUGCAGAAAUCAAUUUUCUCUUCUCUUCUCCUCAUCAGUCCCCCAACAUAAUCAGCAUGACAUAGCCUGCUCAGUUACAACCUUCGAUAAACUCCAUAGCCUGUCCAAAAUCUAGAAAAGAUCAAGGGAUAUAAUACAUAGAAAUCUUAACUUAUAAGGUCCCAUUUAAUUAAUAUAUGCAAUGUUUAUAAAAUUAGUAGCUUCUAAGGUUACAAGAGACCUAGCUGAGGUUAUAUAACUAGAUGCUACCAUUCAGAAUCCUUUUAAGUAAUUCCCUUAGAGAGAUAAGGGGUCAAAGGAUAUAAACAAAGAGUUUUCAAAAAGCACUACAGAUUAUUAAGAAAUGUGUGAAAGAUUUUUCCAAAACAAUAAUAUUAAGUGUAAGUCAAACCUUUGAGUUAAUACUUCAUAUUCAGCAACCGGCAACGAUGACCCAAAAGGGCAAUCAUAAAUGUGAAAAUUUAAUUGAUGAUGAUGUGAAUUUGUCCACCUACUGUGUAAAUUAAUUUGUAAUUUUGUGAAAAAUGACUAAACUGUCCAUGUCCUUUGUCUCAGAGAUUCCACUUAUAAGCGUAUGUUCAUGAAAUGAAAUAGAAUGAAAGAUUCCACUUACACCAAAAUAAUUAUGAAAAUAUUUUUUGUACUAGGUAAGAACUGGAAACAAACUAAAUGGAUAUUGACUGGGGAAUGUUUAAAUCCAUUGGAGUAUUAUAAAUAAUGAAAUAUCAUUACAUUAUGAAAAGUGGAACAUUAAGAUAUUGAGUACAAGGUUCUUAUAUGAAAUGAUACAAAGUAAACUAAGCAAAACCAGGAAAACAA